rnacentral:rRNA from 1 species
UACGGGGGGGGCAAGCGUUGUUCGGAAUUACUGGGCGUAAAGGGCGCGUAGGCGGCCUGCUAAGUCGGACGUGAAAUCCCCCGGCUCAACCGGGGAACUGCGUCCGAUACUGGUGGGCUCGAAUCCGGGAGAGGGAUGUGGAAUUCCAGGUGUAGCGGUGAAAUGCGUAGAUAUCUGGAGGAACACCGGUGGCGAAGGCGGCAUCCUGGACCAACACUGACGCUGAGUGAGCGAAAGCCAGGGGAGCAAACGGG